GCCUCAGUAACGGCGAGUGAAGCGGCAAGAGCUCAAAUUUGAAAGCUGGCCCCUCCGGGGUCCGCGUUGUAAUUUGCAGAGGAUGCUUUGGGUGCGGCCCCCGUCUAAGUGCCCUGGAACGGGCCGUCAGAGAGGGUGAGAAUCCCGUCUUGGGCGGGGUGUCCGUGCCCGUGUAAAGCUCCUUCGACGAGUCGAGUUGUUUGGGAAUGCAGCUCUAAAUGGGUGGUAAAUUUCAUCUAAAGCUAAAUACUGGCCGGAGACCGAUAGCGCACAAGUAGAGUGAUCGAAAGAUGAAAAGCACUUUGAAAAGAGAGUUAAACAGCACGUGAAAUUGUUGAAAGGGAAGCGCUUGCGACCAGACUCGCCCUCGGGGUUCAGCCGGCACUCGUGCCGGUGUACUUCCCCGGGGGCGGGCCAGCGUCAGCUUGGGCGGCCGGUCAAAGGCCUCCGGAAUGUAGUGCCCCCCGGGGCACCUUAUAGCCGGAGGUGCAAUGCGGCCAGCCUGGGCUGAGGAACGCGCUUCGGCACGGACGCUGGCAUAAUGGUCGCAAACGACCCGUCUUGAAACACGGACCAAGGAGUCUAACAUCUACGCGAGUGUUCGGGUGUCAAACCCGUACGCGCAGUGAAAGCAAACGGAGGUGGGAGCCCCCUCGCGGGGCGCACCAUCGACCGAUCCUGAUGUCUUCGGAUGGAUUUGAGUAAGAGCGUAAAUGUGGGGACCCGAAAGAUGGUGAACUAUGCCUGAAUAGGGCGAAGCCAGAGGAAACUCUGGUGGAGGCUCGCAGCGGUUCUGACGUGCAAAUCGAUCGUCAAAUUUGGGUAUAGGGGCGAAAGACUAAUCGAACCAUCUAGUAGCUGGUUCCUGCCGAAG
rnacentral:rRNA from 1 species